UCCUUGAGUAGAAGCGUUCAGCGCUGCCACCCCUGUGCGAUGGUGGCGCCCGGAAAUUGCUCAGUUC
rnacentral:ncRNA from 1 species